AGCCACACCGAUGGCCCUGUCAGCACCGGCAGUGGAGAAUGAGAAACUCAACCAUAAAAGGUGUGAGCCCUGCUGUGAAGUUGGGGACUAGUCUUCACACUGAACCCAAAGGAGCCCCUUUGUCUAAUUGAAACCCUGGGCACCAGAGCAUAGCCUGGAGUGUGUACAUGAUGCAGUCUCCGUGCUCCGACCCCUGAAACGUUUCCUGGACUCACCCACGACCGUGAGGUUGACUUGGGCCUGCCUGCUGCCCAGCUUGUUCUCCACCACCAGUGUGUAGCAGCCACAGUGCUCCUGCCGCGCGGCCAGGAUGGUGAGCUUGCUGCCGCUCUCGCCAUUCUCCACCUUGAUAUGCUCGCUCUCCUGGAUCUGCGGGUACAGAUCAGGAUGUAAAGCCUCAGCUACUGCUGCAGUGCCAUGCCUGCCUGCCUGCCUGCCACCAUGUUCCACAGCACAAUGGUCACAGACUUGCUCUCUGAAAUUCUAAGCAAGACCCAGUUGAAUGCUUCCUUUUAUAAGUUGCCUUGGUCACAGUGCUUCUUCACAGCAACGGAACAGUGACGAAGACAUCCCUCAACUGUGUUAACCACAUUCCAUGCGCUCAACAGACAGGGCCAGUGGCUACCACACUGGAGAGCACAGAUGCAGAAAGGUUUCAUAACUGCAGUACGUUUUGUACUGAACUCGAUUAACUGGCUCUGAAAGGGACACAGUUCUGCCUUACCCAUCAGUCUAGACAGGCAGGGCCCCAUGUUCUUCUCCAUCUCCCUCAGAGCUAGUUCUCCUUCCCUCCUAGGUUCUCGUGGCUCAUCUCAUGACAAUUUGCAUGGUGUGAGAAUGCUGACAGAGCUUACAAAGAAUCCUCAUACCUUCUGCAAAGUGGUUUUUGAUCUUCCUAAUGCUGUAGCCCUUUAAUAUAGUUUCUCCCAUUUGGUGACCCCCCCCACCAUAAAAUUAUUUUGUUGCUAUUUCA
rnacentral:lncRNA from 1 species